UACGGAGGGUGCAAGCGUUAUCCGGAUUUACUGGGUUUAAAGGGUGCGUAGGUGGGUCUGUAAGUCAGUGGUGAAAUCUCCGAGCUUAACUCGGAAACUGCCAUUGAUACUAUAGGUCUUGAAUUAUCUGGAGGUAAGCGGAAUAUGUCAUGUAGCGGUGAAAUGCUUAGAUAUGACAUAGAACACCAAUUGCGAAGGCAGCUUACUACGGAUCGAUUGACACUGAGGCACGAAAGCGUGGGGAUCAAACGGG
rnacentral:rRNA from 1 species